AGGAUAAAUAGGAAAAGGAGGGUAUGGACAAAGUUCUAGGGCAUUGGGUUUCUUUUUCUUUCUUUCUUUUUUUUUUCUUCUUUUUUUUUUUUGCGCUU
rnacentral:ribozyme from 1 species